AUUGAACGCUGGCGGCAUGCCUUACACAUGCAAGUCGAACGGCAGCACGGGUGCUUGCACCUGGUGGCGAGUGGCGAACGGGUGAGUAAUACAUCGGAACAUGUCCUGUAGUGGGGGAUAGCCCGGCGAAAGCCGGAUUAACACCGCAUACGAUCCACGGAUGAAAGCGGGGGACCUUCGGGCCUCGCGCUAUAGGGUUGGCCGAUGGCUGAUUAGCUAGUUGGUGGGGUAAAGGCCUACCAAGGCGACGAUCAGUAGCUGGUCUGAGAGGACGACCAGCCACACUGGGACUGAGACACGGCCCAGACUCCUACGGGAGGCAGCAGUGGGGAAUUUUGGACAAUGGGCGAAAGCCUGAUCCAGCAAUGCCGCGUGUGUGAAGAAGGCCUUCGGGUUGUAAAGCACUUUUGUCCGGAAAGAAAUCCUUGACUCUAAUACAGUCGGGGGAUGACGGUACCGGAAGAAUAAGCACCGGCUAACUACGUG
rnacentral:rRNA from 1 species